rnacentral:lncRNA from 1 species
CUUACAAGGGUAACUACCCUUGUGACACACAACCUGGAAUAUGCAACACAAGCUGAAACAUGGACCAAAAACAUUCAGGUCACGAUAGUGGAUUUUACCUUAUGGAUUUGAAGAUGAGACCUUGCAGUGCUUACCAAAGUCCCUGGCCACAAAUCUGCCCUGACUAUCUUCACCUCUAUGAAGAAAUUAGGAGAUCUGGUGACAGGUUGAAUGCAACAUGCCAGUGGACAUGUAAGACCACCUACUCAUUGGGCCCUGCCAUCUCUAUGAAUAGCCUUAUCUUGGAAAAUUCCACCUGUAAAGCUCAUGGACUGGGUAAAGGACUUAUAUUAUCCAUCAGGCAAUUAGUAUUGAAUGAUCUUUACAGAAACACAGUAAGUUAAAACAGCCUUACCUGAUGAUAUUGCAAAAGUUUUGUGGCAAUUGUUGCCACUGCUUUGUGGGAAUAACCCCCAUGAAUAAAAUAUUCACCUCUUCCCA